GUGGGGAAUAUUGGACAAUGGGCGAAAGCCUGAUCCAGCAAUGCCGCGUGAGUGAUGAAGGCCUUAGGGUUGUAAAGCUCUUUUACCCGGGAUGAUAAUGACAGUACCGGGAGAAUAAGCUCCGGCUAACUCCGUGCCAGCAGCCGCGGUAAUACGGAGGGAGCUAGCGUUGUUCGGAAUUACUGGGCGUAAAGCGCGCGUAGGCGGUUUUUUAAGUCAGAGGUGAAAGCCCAGUGCUCAACACUGGAACUGCCUUUGAAACUGGAAAACUUGAAUCUUGGAGAGGUCAGUGGAAUUCCGAGUGUAGAGGUGAAAUUCGUAGAUAUUCGGAAGAACACCAGUGGCGAAGGCGACUGACUGGACAAGUAUUGACGCUGAGGUGCGAAAGCGUGGGGAGCAAACAGGAUUAGAUACCCCUGUAGUCC
rnacentral:rRNA from 1 species